rnacentral:rRNA from 1 species
UACGUAGGGACCAAGCGUUGUUCGGAUUUACUGGGCGUAAAGGGCGCGUAGGCGGCAAUUCAAGUCAUCUGUGAAAUCUCCGGGCUUAACCCGGAACGGUCAGGUGAUACUGUUUGCUAGAGUGCGGUAGAGGGGUGUGGAAUUCCCGGUGUAGCGGUGAAAUGCGUAGAGAUCGGGAGGAACACCAGUGGCGAAGGCGGCACCCUGGACCAGCACUGACACUGAGGCACGAAAGCGUGGGGAGCAAACAGG